ACUCCUGCGGGAGGCAGCAGUGGGGAAUUUUGGACACUGGGCGAAAGCCUGAUCCAGCAAUGCCGCGUGAGUGAAGAAGGCCUUCGGGUUGUAAAGCUCUUUUGUCAGGGAAGAAACGGUGAAAGCUAAUAUCUUUUGCUAAUGACGGUACCUGAAGAAUAAGCACCGGCUAACUACGUGCCAGCAGCCGCGGUAAUACGUAGGGUGCAAGCGUUAAUCGGAAUUACUGGGCGUAAAGCGUGCGCAGGCGGUUUUGUAAGUCUGAUGUGAAAUCCCCGGGCUCAACCUGGGAAUUGCAUUGGGGACUGCAAGGCUAGAAUCUGGCAGAGGGGGGUAGAAUUCCACGUGUAGCAGUGAAAUGCGUAGAUAUGUGGAGGAACACCGAUGGCGAAGGCAGCCCCCUGGGUCAAGAUUGACGCUCAUGCACGAAAGCGUGGGGAGCAAACAGGAUUAGAUACCCGUGUAGUCCCAUGAU
rnacentral:rRNA from 1 species